GACGAACGCUGGCGGCGUGCCUAAUACAUGCAAGUCGAGCGCAGGAAACUGACGGAACUCUUCGGAGGGAAGGCAGUGGAAUGAGCGGCGGACGGGUGAGUAACACGUAAGGAACCUGCCUCAAGGAUUGGGAUAACUCCGAGAAAUCGGAGCUAAUACCGGAUAGUUCAUCGGACCGCAUGGUCCGUUGAUGAAAGGCGCUUCGGCGUCACCUUGAGAUGGCCUUGCGGUGCAUUAGCUAGUUGGUGGGGUAAUGGCCCACCAAGGCGACAAGGCAUAGCCGACCUGAGAGGGUGAUCGGCCACACUGGGACUGAGACACGGCCCAGACUCCUACGGGAGGCAGCAGUAGGGAAUCUUCCACAAUGGACGAAAGUCUGAUGGAGCAACGCCGCGUGAGUGAUGAAGGUUUUCGGAUCGUAAAACUCUGUUGUAAGGGAAGAACACGUACGAGAGGAAAUGCUCGUACCUUGACGGUACCUUACGAGAAAGCCACGGCUAACUACGUGCCAGCAGCCGCCGUAA
rnacentral:rRNA from 1 species